rnacentral:rRNA from 1 species
CCUACGGGAGGCAGCAGUGGGGAAUAUUGCACAAUGGGGGAAACCCUGAUGCAGCGACGCCGCGUGAGUGAAGAAGUAUUUCGGUAUGUAAAGCUCUAUCAGCAGGGAAGAAGCAAGACGGUACCUGACUAAGAAGCCCCGGCUAACUACGUGCCAGCAGCCGCGGUAAUACGUAGGGGGCAAGCGUUAUCCGGAUUGACUGGGUGUAAAGGGAGCGUAGACGGUAUGGCAAGUCUGAAGUGAAAGCCCAGGGCUUAACCCUGGGACUGCUUUGGAAACUGUUAGACUAGAGUGCUGGAGAGGUAAGUGGAAUUACUAGGGUAGCGGUGAAAGGCGUAGAUAUUAGGAGGAACACCAGGGGCGAAGGCGGCUUACGGGACAGUAACUGACGUUGGGGCUCGAAAGCGUGAGGAGCAAACAGGAUCAGAUACCCUAUUAGUC